rnacentral:rRNA from 1 species
UGGGGAAUUUUGGACAAUGGGCGAAAGCCUGAUCCAGCAAUGCCGCGUGUGUGAAGAAGGCCUUCGGGUUGUAAAGCACUUUUGUCCGGAAAGAAAUCCUUGGCUCUAAUACAGUUGGGGGAUGACGGUACCGGAAGAAUAAGCACCGGCUAACUACGUGCCAGCAGCCGCGGUAAUACGUAGGGUGCAAGCGUUAAUCGGAAUUACUGGGCGUAAAGCGUGCGCAGGCGGUUUGCUAAGACCGAUGUGAAAUCCCCGGGCUCAACCUGGGAACUGCAUUGGUGACUGGGCAGGCUAGAGUAUGGCAGAGGGGGGUAGAAUUCCACGUGUGAGCAGUGAAAUGCGUAGAGAUGUGGAGGAAUACCGAUGGCGAAGGCAGCCCCCUGGGCCAAUACUGACGCUCAUGCACGAAAGCGUGGGGAGCAAAACAGGAUUAGAU